GACGAACGCUGGCGGCGUGCUUAACACAUGCAAGUCGAACGGAAAGGCCCUGCUUUUGUGGGGUGCUCGCGUGGCGAACGGGUGAGUAACACGUGAGUAACCUGCCCUUGACUUUGGGAUAACUUCAGGAACCUGGGGCUAAUACCGGAUAGGAGCUCCUGCUGCAUGGUGGGGGUUGGAAAGUUUCGGCGGUUGGGGAUGGACUCGCGGCUUAUCAGCACGUUGGUGGGGUAGUGGCUUACCAAGGCUUUGACGGGUAGCCGGCCUGAGAGGGUGACGGGCCACAUUGGGACUGAGAUACCGCCGAGACUCCUACGGGAGGCAGCAGUGAGGAAUAUUGCACAAUGGGCGGAAGCCUGAUGCAGCAACGCCGCGUGCGGGAUGACGGCCUUCGGGUUGUAACCCGCUUUCGCCUGUGACGAAGCGUGAGUGGCGGUAAUGGGUAAAGAAGCACCGGCUAACUACGUG
rnacentral:rRNA from 1 species